UACGGAGGGAGCUAGCGUUGUUCGGAAUUACUGGGCGUAAAGCGCGCGUAGGCGGCUUUGUAAGUUAGAGGUGAAAGCCCGGGGCUCAACCCCGGAACUGCCUUUAAGACUGCAUCGCUUGAAUCUGGGAGAGGUGAGUGGAAUUCCGAGUGUAGAGGUGAAAUUCGUAGAUAUGUGGAGGAACACCGAUGGCGAAGGCAGCCUCCUGGGCCAGCACUGACGCUCAUGCACGAAAGCGUGGGGAGCAAACAGG
rnacentral:rRNA from 1 species